UCUUGAAAUGUGGUCUCUAAAGCAGGAGCCUUCAUAUUCCCCGGGUGGUUGUAGAAGCCCAGACACCCUCAUGCUGGAUUGAACCCUCUGAGGGCACUGGUCUGAGAAUCACGGGUGUGGCUCACACAGACGAACAGCUGCCUGCAUGAGAUGGGUGUAGUAGGCGUGUGAGAACCUGAGGCAGCUGCCUUCUUACUCAGAGUUGAAGAGACCCAGGGAGGAUGAUCAUUGCCCUGUGUGUGCUCCAGGUACAGCCACUUCGGAAACCCACCUGUAGGGGGUGAACGACCCGGAGACCUUCCUACAGUAACAAGGGACGUGUGGCAAAGACGCCCUGACGUUUCUGGUCUUGCCUCUACAUCUCAUUUUCUGUAAUUCCGAAUAUCUAUGGGAGAGCUCCAUCUACAGCCUCUUUUUAAAGGAAGAGCUGCCCUGGGUGCUUGAAGACUGUUCCCAAGCUUGGCAUCUUGCAGAAUCUAUGUAAAUUUGGAUCAGGACUCAACUCUACUCCUGGGAAGACUCCCCUUUCCCUCCUCUUGGGAUCUGUUGCACUUACACCACCGGCUAUUCUGGCAGGUGCGAGAACAUUCUCCCCAGGGUCCCCAAGGACCCCAGUCUCCAUCUACCACGGCCUGCAACACACAAUGCCACUGAAUCAGGACCAAAGCGGAGCA